GACGAACGCUGGCGGCGUGCUUAACACAUGCAAGUCGAGCGGUAAGGCCCUUUCGGGGUACACGAGCGGCGAACGGGUGAGUAACACGUGGGUGACCUGCCCUCAGCUCUGGGAUAAGCCCGGGAAACUGGGUCUAAUACCGGAUAUGACUUCAUGACGCAUGUUGUGGAGUGAAAGCCUUGUGCGGCUGAGGAUGGGCCCGCGGCCUAUCAGCUUGUUGGUGGGGUGANGGCCUACCAAGGCGACGACGGGUAGCCGGCCUGAGAGGGCGACCGGCCACACUGGGACUGAGAUACGGCCCAGACUCCUACGGGAGGCAGCAGUGGGAAUCUUGCGCAAUGGGCGAAAGCCUGACGCAGCGACGCCGCGUGAGGGAUGACGG
rnacentral:rRNA from 1 species